rnacentral:rRNA from 1 species
GGCGGCUUACACAUGCAAGUCGAGGGGUAUAGUUCUUCGGAGCUAGAGACCGGCGCACGGGUGCGUAACGCGUAUGCAAUCUACCUUUUACAGAGGGAUAGCCCAGAGAAAUUUGGAUUAAUACCUCAUAGUAUGUGAGAAUCGCAUGGUUUUCACAUUAAAGUCACAACGGUAAAAGAUGAGCAUGCGUCCCAUUAGCUUGUUGGUAAGGUAACGGCUUACCAAGGCAACGAUGGGUAGGGGUCCUGAGAGGGAGAUCCCCCACACUGGUACUGAGACACGGACCAGACUCCUACGGGAGGCAGCAGUGAGGAAUAUUGGACAAUGGGCGCAAGCCUGAUCCAGCCAUGCCGCGUGCAGGAUGACGGUCCUAUGGAUUGUAAACUGCUUUUGUACAGGAAGAAACACUCCCUCGUGAGGGAGCUUGACGGUACUGUAAGAAUAAGGAUCGGCUAACUCCGUGCCAGCAGCCGCGGUAAU